rnacentral:rRNA from 1 species
GACGUAGGAGGCGAGCGUUGUCCGGAUUCAUUGGGCGUAAAGAGCACGCAGGCGGUUUGGCAAGUCGGAUGUGAAAACCCGGAGCUCAACUCCGGACCUGCAUCCGAAACUGCCCGACUAGAGGUAGGUAGGGGAGAUCGGAAUUCCUGGUGUAGCGGUGAACUGCGCAGAUAUCAGGAGGAACACCGGUGGCGAAGGCGGAUCUCUGGGCCUUACCUGACGCUCAGGUGCGAAAGCUAGGGGAGCGAACAGG